rnacentral:rRNA from 1 species
UACGUAGGUGGCAAGCGUUGUCCGGAUUUAUUGGGUUUAAAGGGUGCGUAGGCGGCUUAUUAAGUCAGUGGUGAAAUACUCUAGCUCAACUAGAGGGGUGCCAUUGAUACUGAUGAGCUUGAGUACAGAUGAGGUAGGCGGAAUUGACGGUGUAGCGGUGAAAUGCUUAGAUAUCGUCAAGAACACCUAUAGCGAAGGCAGCUUACUAGGCUGUAACUGACGCUGAGGCACGAAAAGUGUGGGGAUCAAAACAGG